UACGGAGGGUGCUAGCGUUGUUCGGAAUUACUGGGCGUAAAGCGCGCGUAGGUGGCUUGUGAAGUCUGAUGUGAAAGCCCCCGGCUCAACCGGGGAAGUGCAUUGGAAACCAGCAAGCUUGAGAAUAGCGGGGGAUCGUGGAAUUCCUGGUGUAGCAGUGAAAUGCGUAGAUAUCAGGAAGAACACCGGUGGCGAAGGCGACGAUCUAAGCUAUCUCUGACACUAAAGCACGAAAGCGUGGGGAGCAAACAGGAUUAGAUACCCUGGUAGUCCACGCCGUAAACGAUGGGUACUAGGUGUCGGCCCUUUUAGGGUCGGUGCCGAAGCUAACGCAUUAAGUACCCCGCCUGGGAAGUACGGUCGCAAGGCUG
rnacentral:rRNA from 1 species